GAAUUCCUUGUGGGCUACCCCCCACCAUCGCCAAUGGAGAUUUCAUUAGCACCAACAGAGAGUAUUUUCACUACGGAUCAGUGGUGACCUACCGCUGCAAUCCUGGAAGCAGAGGGAGAAAGGUGUUUGAGCUGGUGGGUGAGCCCUCCAUAUACUGCACCAGCAAUGAAGAUCAAGUGGGCAUCUGGAGUGGCCCAGCCCCUCAGUGCAUUAUACCUAAUAAAUGCACACCUCCAAAUGUGGAAAAUGGAAUAUUGGUAUCUGACAACAAAAGCUUAUUUUCCUUAAAUGAAGUUGUGGAGUUUAGGUGUCAGCCUGGCUUUGUCAUGAAAGGACCCCCCCGUGUGAAGUGCCGGGCCCUGAACAAAUGGGAGCCAGAGCUACCAAGCUGCUCCAGGGUAUGUCAGCCGCCUCCAGAUGUCCUGCAUGGUGAGCGUACCCAAAGGGACAAGGACAACUUUUCACCCGGGCAGGAAGUGUUCUACAGCUGUGAGCCCAGCUACGACCUCAGAGGGGCUGUGUCUCUGCGUUGCACACCCCAGGGAGACUGGAGCCCUGCAGCCCCCAGAUGCGAAG
rnacentral:sRNA from 1 species